ACGCUCGACACCUACGGGGGCAGCAGUGGGGAAUAUUGCACAAUGGGGGAAACCCUGAUGCAGCGACGCCGCGUGAGCGAAGAAGUAUCUCGGUAUGUAAAGCUCUAUCAGCAGGGAAGAAGAUGACGGUACCUGACUAAGAAGCACCGGCUAAAUACGUGCCAGCAGCCGCGGUAAUCUGAGCGGGCGUGGCGAAGGC
rnacentral:rRNA from 1 species